rnacentral:rRNA from 1 species
GACGAACGCUGGCGGCGUGCUUAACACAUGCAAGUCGAACGGAAAGGCCCUGCUUUUGUGGGGUGCUCGAGUGGCGAACGGGUGAGUAACACGUGAGUAACCUGCCCUUGACUUUGGGAUAACUUCAGGAAACUGGGGCUAAUACCGGAUAGGAGCUCCUGCUGCAUGGUGGGGGUUGGAAAGUUUCGGCGGUUGGGGAUGGACUCGCGGCUUAUCAGCUUGUUGGUGGGGUAGUGGCUUACCAAGGCUUUGACGGGUAGCCGGCCUGAGAGGGUGACCGGCCACAUUGGGACUGAGAUACGGCCCAGACUCCUACGGGAGGCAGCAGUGGGGAAUAUUGCACAAUGGGCGGAAGCCUGAUGCAGCAACGCCGCGUGCGGGAUGACGGCCUUCGGGGUGUAAACCGCUUUCGCCUGUGACGAAGCGUGAGUGACGGUAAUGGGUAAAGAAGCACCGGCUAACUACGUG